CCUACGGGAGGCAGCAGUGAGGAAUAUUGGACAAUGGGCGCAAGCCUGAUCCAGCGACGCCGCGUGAGUGAUGAAGGCCUUUGGGUCGUAAAGCUCUGUCAGCAGGGAAGAACGGCCGUGUGGUUAAUACCCAUGCGGAUUGACGGUACCUGCAGAGGAAGCCCCGGCU
rnacentral:rRNA from 1 species